UGCUAUGCUAGUUGUAGCGCUCCCGCGCUUGACUAAUAGUUUCUCAAGUCAAGGGGACUUUAUCAUGAUCUUACGAAUCUACAACUCUCUUUACUGAGCGAGACUCUACCCAGAUCUCAAGAAUUUGCCAAAGAGCCUUCUUCUAACUAGUUAGAAUUGAGAAUUGAUCCUUUUCCUUCGACUUAGGUGGAGCAAUCCCCGAACUCUCGACAGAAUAGAAAAGAGGUUUUGAUUCCUGUGUAGACACCUCAACGAACUCAUGUGGACACUCCUUAGCCCGAGGACAUCAAAUACGAUAUACUUAGUUGUCAGAUCUUCCUUUUUCUUUUCUUUACUGAUUCCUCUCAAUGAAAUUUGCCAUGUUGCACUAAGUUACUUACGGAUGUAUGCAUGUGGUCCGGGAACACUUUGGGGUGAACACCCAUCCGAACAAGUAGGGUCAAUAGUUUAGCAUUUAGGCCGUAACAUUUAGCAAGAAAGAAAGAUUGAACCCAACAAGUGCUCUCCGAACCAAGCUAGAUAGUUUCCUAUCACUAGGCUCACCAACCAACCUGGACUUUUCUUUCUCUUAUUCCUACCGGUCCGGAGGACAGAAGUUUGAGUGGUCCUACGUCCGUCCUCAGGCAUUGAAUGAGUGGAAUGAAAAGCUCAAAUUCUUCGAUCAUUCUUUGACUUUAUUCGCAAAUUCUUUGCGCCUCACUCUCCUUUCAGUCGAGACCUCUGGAACUCGUCCGGAGUCCUUGAAAUCUUCUUUGAACCCGUCCGUAGGACUUGUUUAUAUCCAUAUUAGCUUGAAUUCAGCCUUUGUUUAAAUUAAACCAGUGAGGACUAGUUUAAUUAGCCUGUGGAAUUCUUUCGUUGCACUCCCGUAGUUAGGGGCAAAGAAUUUGCGAAGGACUCCUUUUCUCUGAUUUUCUUAGAUAAAUGCCUUUCGCUUCGCGCCGGAGGACCCGUCCGACCGCCCCGUGGGAAUAUGUAGGAUGAAAGGACCCAGAGAUGCGGAUGACUCAAACUUCUUCUUCUUCUGAACUUAUGGGAUUCUUUCCAGCCUUCCUAUAUGACAUAAGCGCUCUUGGGGCCGGCCAUUCCAUCUUUUCUUUGAGAAGGUCGUAUUUGAUGGUCGGCGUGGCGAUAGGCUGAGCUUCGUAGACUGCCUCCCCAGCCCUUGCAAAGACUGAGCGAGAACGGUCAGGGGCGCACAAAGAAUGUCGUUGCGCGGGGAUGCGAUUCGCCAAGCUGGGGCAAAGAAAGCCGUCCGGCCCCCCACCGGAUUAGGAAUGCGAAGGCCUUUCGAAGGAGAAAGGAGACCCGGGAAAGAAAGAGCUAUGCUAUUGACCGACCCUUCUUAUCGCUCCGGGUUCCGAUCUAUAUGACCUCCGGGCGGUACAAAGUCAACCUCUGUAGUAGAGGCAGGCAGGUAGUAAGCUAACCUUUCUGAGUCUCUUCAAGGUGGUAGUUAUACCACCUCUGACAAUGGAAAGAUCUCCGUGCGUGAUAAGGAAUCCUAGAAAAGAUCGAUUGAGACUCCCUCCCCGGUCCCACGAAGAUCUCUACGUACUUGUCCAGUCCAGGACAAGAUCUUCCGGUCUGCGUGCGUGGGAGCAGCUCAAAGAAAGAAGAGUCUGGUCUGAAUUCUGGCCCGGCCUGCCCGUCUGCUGCUAGGUCCGGGAAUGGCGCCAGGCGAGGGCGUCAACUCAUCUGGAGUAGCUUACUCUGCUGCGACCUGAAUUUGAUUCGGCCGGCAUAGAUCUCAUGAGACCGGCCCACUAUUACGACGAAAAAAGCCCUGCCCUUUUCCUUCGCUACUAGGAGAGUCCGCUACUUCUAUUAGCGCCGGACCUUGAGUCGAAUUUCUCGUGUGUCAUGUGCAACGUCCAUCAAUGAUGGUGAAUUAAUGUCCAUUGAUUUAGACUCCUUCCCCCUUCCUAACUACGAAUAAGAGAGAGAGGAGCCCGAACCAAAGCAAGAACGAAAACGGAUGAGAUUCACUCCCCAUUCUCUCUUAAAUAAAGCUCGCCCUCUAUAAGUACCAACCAGAAAGAAGAAAGCCUACUCAAAGUAUAUGGAAUAAAUCAGUCCGACUAUCGAUACCUCCUCUUGUUCUCUUCCCGCCACGAGAAAGACGCUGAAAAAUGAAGAGCGCGCGGAGGCUCAAAGAAAACAAAGGUCCUCAAUGAGAGACUCCGUAGGCUAAAAAAGCAGAGGAGGCUCGACUGAAAGGAGUCCAAGAUUCAAGCUGAAUCAAUGAACAAAGGUUGAGAAGCGACUGGAAAGGAGCAAAGAAUUUGCGAAGGCGCGAAGCGAAGCGACUGUGAAGGAGCGAAGGAGCGAAAGCGGCUCGACUGAGGUUAGGAAGGAGAGGAGCGAAGGUUUGUUUGGAGGUUCGAAGAAAGUCGACUGAUAAGGAGUCAAUGAACAAGGGCAGCUCGACUGAUAAGGAGAGGAGCCCGACGAUUAUUAUUCAAUCCAUAUGAAAAAAUUAGGAUAUAAAGGUUAGGACUCUGAAAGCGAAGGACUCCUUUUCUCUGAUUUUCUUAGAGAAAUGCGCUUCUCAAAUUGCAAUUAUAAGGCGCAAAGAAUUUGCGAAGGAUCAAAGAAUGAUCGAAGAAUGAGAGAAGCGACUGGAAAGGUGCGAAGCAGCUCGACUAAGAAGGAGAGGCGCAAAGAAUUUGUGGAGAGGAGUUGCGAAAGGCUUGAAAUUCCACUCCGGUCUGAAGAAAGACGUAGAAGCAAAAACAAAGGGUCAAAGCCCAAGGUUAAUAUGGAUAGUCCUUCGGACAGGGUCAUAUUCAUCUGCCCUUAUUAAUGAGACCGGCUGGGUCCCCCUAUCUUUAUGUGAUCUCGACUGAUAUAACUAGGUCUCGCUCCUUCUCCCCUCUCGCUUUAGCUCUCGCAUAUUUUCUCGAGACAUUAAUCGACGAUUGAUAGAUAGCCUGAUCUGUUCUGAUUCCCAAUUGGGAAAGCCAAGAGAAAGAUGAGAUUCUUCGUAGAGCUGGUGCUGCUCUUGCCUGCGCGUAGGGCCGUCCCCCACUCCCGUCCCGGGGCGCUAAGGGGCUUUUGUUUUUGGAACAGACGGCAUUGCUGACGCCUCGAAUCAAGCUUUUGUUGCGACAUGCUAUGUUUUCUCCCCCAUUGCUAGUAGGUUGAUGGGUCGCACGCCCGGCACACAUGUUUUGGCCUUGUGUGUCCAUAACUCAAAAUAGGUGACCUAACGGCCGCCGCCCGACUAAACAUACCAAUAGUCACCAGAUUCAUAUGGGCUACUGAGGAGUAAGCAAUGAUCUUCUUAAGAUCGAUCUGUCUUGAAGUGGUCAAGGAAGUAUAUAUUAUAGCAAUCGCGCUUAGAGUAUAAAUGAAAGGAGUGGCACAAAGUGUCGCUUCGGGAAAGAUGGGUAUUGAAAAUCUUAAAAACCCGUGGGUUCCCAAUUUUAAAAGAAUUCCUGCCAAGAUGACGGAUCCUGCCGUAGGUGCCUCUACAUGAGCUUCGGGUAACCAAAUAUGAACUGGUACCAUAGGCACUUUGACGGCGAAAGAGGCGAAAGAAGCAAUCCAUAGAAAGAUUUGGCGCCGCUCACUAAAUUCUGUGGUUAAUGAGAUUUGUAAAUCGGUGGUUCCUGUUUGGAGAAGAAUCAACAGAAUAGCUAAUAGCAUCAAAACGGAUCCCAGUAAAGUAUAAAGGAAAAACUGAUAUGCUGCCUUGAUCUUUCUUUGUCUCGAACCCCAUACCCCUAUAAUAAUGGUAGAGUCAGGGGUGGCCCCAAAGCGGAAUUGACCGAUGGUAGUUGGUCGAAGCUCCAGUAGGUAGCCACUCCCUUCUCAGGGAACCGUACGUGAGACUUCCGCAUCAUACGGCUCCGUCCCGAGCUUCCUCGGCCCUUGUCAUUAGACCACUAUCUAUGCAUGUAUUUUCAGCCUGGACUCUCUCAUCUUUUGCUUCUCGGAUAGUGGCGAAGAAUGCUGCUUGCGUUGCGGGAGAUGCCUGCUUCUCGCCCGAAAGAACCGCUCACUAGCUAGCGGGCCCUAUCUGGAGACAGACUGAAACUCAAUCUAUACGAACUCUUCCAAAUCAAAAGACAAAAAAUGGGCUCGUUGGGAAGAGGAGUGCGGCCUGUAGAGCACAUGUCAGGCACAGUCGGGUUGCUCACGCAGCGGAUCUCGAUAGAUAGAUAGAUAUCUUUUGAUAGAGAGAGAUGUGAAAGUAAUAGCCUGAUUUUCUCCCCCGACUGACUUGCUACUACUACUGUGAUGUGAGCGGUUCAAAUUGCUUUUCUCUUUCCCAAUUAUCCUGGCCUCCACUUGUACGCAGCACUUGUACGGGGGUGCAUGCAUAAAGGUUUGGAACUAGAAUCUGAUCUGAAUCAGAUCUAUGGAAGUGCCUCAUUGAGGACCUUUUCGCAAAUUCUUUGCUCCUAGCGUCCCGUAGGAGGAGUCAGAAAUCCUCUCAUUGAGGACCUUUGUUUUGGAGGGGUCAAGACGAGCGAAAGCGGCUCGACUGUCAGGAGAGGCUGAAUGCAAUAUGAGUUAGGACCAAAGAAUUUGCUCUUGACUUGUUUAUUCUACCAUAUUAACCUGUCUCGAACUCUCUGCCGAGCUUCACCCAGCCCGCAUUUCCUUUUUCAGGGGGCCAAAGAAAUGUCUCCACCAGCUGCCAACAGUCUUUCUUCGGAAUGAUACUGAACGGGUCGAUCCUCCCCUCUCCCCUUUGUUUUAGCAACUUAUCCGUCGGUCUCCUCACCAAGAGCUCCCCGGCGACGAGAGAGGAAGCAGAAGCAACCCCUGUGGCGGGGCGGCUUUUUUCUUUCACAAUCAGAGACCUGGACGAUUAUCCCUACCCUCCGUAGCUUACGAGUUUACGUCCAUCCCUGGUCGGGUACAGUUUCCUUUCUCUUUCUCCCUUGUAGCCGUUACCCCGAAUUCGCGCAAGUGUGUCCACACCCCCCAAACAGACUUGACGAGGAAUCCAUUCUCGCGAACAAACACAACCCCUACACACACCUAGGAGCACCCCUUCCUGCAUAUUCAUACAAGACCCGAGUAGGCGGGUCGAGGUCUGACGAGGUACCCACUACUCUCCGUACCCUCCCAAAAGGAAAAAGAUGUGUCUGUCAGGUUCGGUUCUUCGAUCUUGGGUUGGGCGGGUUCGACCAGAAAUGCUAUGCUUACACACAAGACUACCCCUCUUCCCGAAAGCUUCGCGGGGACUACUUGACGACGACGGACGACCGCCCGUAGGGGGUUUACUGCACAAGGCCCCUGCAGAGGAAAAGCUUGAUCCCAGCGAAUAGAAGAUGCUCAGCUCCGCACAACAUAGGGAUUGGCACGCUUUCG